GACGAACGCUGGCGGCGUGCUUAACACAUGCAAGUCGAGCGGUAAGGCCCUUUCGGGGGUACACGAGCGGCGAACGGGUGAGUAACACGUGGGUGACCUGCCUUUAGCUCUGGGAUAAGCCUGGGAAACCGGGUCUAAUACCGGAUAUGACUCCGCGGCGCAUGUUGUGGGGUGGAAAGCCUUGUGCGGCUGGAGAUGGGCCCGCGGCCUAUCAGCUUGUUGGUGGGGUGAUGGCCUACCAAGGCGACGACGGGUAGCCGGCCUGAGAGGGCGACCGGCCACACUGGGACUGAGACACGGCCCAGACUCCUACAGGAGGCAGCAGUGGGGAAUCUUGCGCAAUGGGCGAAAGCCUGACGCAGCGACGCCGCGUGAGGGAUGACGGCCUGG
rnacentral:rRNA from 1 species